UACGGAGGGGGCAAGCGUUAUUCGGAAUUACUGGGCGUAAAGCGCGUGUAGGCGGGGAUACAAGUCUGAUGUGAAAGCCCUGGGCUUAACCUGGGAAGUGCAUUGGAAACUGUAUUUCUUGAGUACUGGAGAGGAAGGGGGAAUUCCCGGUGUAGAGGUGAAAUUCGUAGAGAUCGGGAGGAAUACCAGUGGCGAAGGCGCCCUUCUGGACGGUUACUGACGCUGAGACGAGAAAGCGUGGGGAUCAAACAGG
rnacentral:rRNA from 1 species